AAAUUGAAGAGUUUGAUCAUGGCUCAGAUUGAACGCUGGCGGCAGGCCUAACACAUGCAAGUCGAGCGGAAACGAGUUAUCUGAACCUUCGGGGRACGAUAACGGCGUCGAGCGGCGGACGGGUGAGUAAUGCCUAGGAAAUUGCCCUGAUGUGGGGGAUAACCAUUGGAAACGAUGGCUAAUACCGCAUGAUGCCUACGGGCCAAAGAGGGGGACCUUCGGGCCUCUCGCGUCAGGAUAUGCCUAGGUGGGAUUAGCUAGUUGGUGAGGUAAGGGCUCACCAAGGCGACGAUCCCUAGCUGGUCUGAGAGGAUGAUCAGCCACACUGGAACUGAGACACGGUCCAGACUCCUACGGGAGGCAGCAGUGGGGAAUAUUGCACAAUGGGCGCAAGCCUGAUGCAGCCAUGCCGCGUGUGUGAAGAAGGCCUUCGGGUUGUAAAGCACUUUCAGUCGUGAGGAAGGURGUGUAGUUAAUAGCWSYAUUAUUUGACGUUAGCGACAGAAGAAGCACCGGCUAACUCCGUGCCAGCAGCCGCGGUAAUACGGAGGGUGCGAGCGUUAAUCGGAAUUACUGGGCGUAAAGCGCAUGCAGGUGGUUUGUUAAGUCAGAUGUGAAAGCCCGGGGCUCAACCUCGGAAUUGCAUUUGAAACUGGCAGACUAGAGUACUGUAGAGGGGGGUAGAAUUUCAGGUGUAGCGGUGAAAUGCGUAGAGAUCUGAAGGAAUACCGGUGGCGAAGGCGGCCCCCUGGACAGAUACUGACACUCAGAUGCGAAAGCGUGGGGAGCAAACAGGAUUAGAUACCCUGGUAGUCCACGCCGUAAACGAUGUCUACUUGGAGGUUGUGGCCUUGAGCCGUGGCUUUCGGAGCUAACGCGUUAAGUAGACCGCCUGGGGAGUACGGUCGCAAGAUUAAAACUCAAAUGAAUUGACGGGGGCCCGCACAAGCGGUGGAGCAUGUGGUUUAAUUCGAUGCAACGCGAAGAACCUUACCUACUCUUGACAUCCAGAGAACUUUCCAGAGAUGGAUUGGUGCCUUCGGGAACUCUGAGACAGGUGCUGCAUGGCUGUCGUCAGCUCGUGUUGUGAAAUGUUGGGUUAAGUCCCGCAACGAGCGCAACCCUUAUCCUUGUUUGCCAGCGAGUAAUGUCGGGAACUCCAGGGAGACUGCCGGUGAUAAACCGGAGGAAGGUGGGGACGACGUCAAGUCAUCAUGGCCCUUACGAGUAGGGCUACACACGUGCUACAAUGGCGCAUACAGAGGGCAGCCAACUUGCGAAAGUGAGCGAAUCCCAAAAAGUGCGUCGUAGUCCGGAUUGGAGUCUGCAACUCGACUCCAUGAAGUCGGAAUCGCUAGUAAUCGUGGAUCAGAAUGCCACGGUGAAUACGUUCCCGGGCCUUGUACACACCGCCCGUCACACCAUGGGAGUGGGCUGCAAAAGAAGUAGGUAGUUUAACCUUCGGGGGGACGCUUACCACUUUGUGGUUCAUGACUGGGGUGAAGUCGUAACAAGGUAGCGCUAGGGGAACCUGGCGCUGGAUCACCUCCUUAGUGGGCUGCAAAAGAAGUAGGUAGUUUAACCUUCGGGGGGACGCUUACCACUUUGUGGUUCAUGACUGGGGUGAAGUCGUAACAAGGUAGCGCUAGGGGAACCUGGCGCUGGAUCACCUCCUUAWACGAUGAU
rnacentral:rRNA from 1 species